rnacentral:rRNA from 1 species
ACUCAAAUGAAUUGACGGGGACCCGCACAAGCGGUGGAGUAUGUGGUUUAAUUCGAAUCUACGCGAAGAACCUUACCAGCUCUUGACAUGGUGAUCAUACUGUCCGUAAUGGGACAGGUCGGUUCGGCCGGAUCACACACAGGUGCUGCAUGGCUGUCGUCAGUUCGUGUCGUGAGAUGUUGGGUUAAGUCCCGCAACGAACGCAACCCUUAUCGUUAGUUGCUAACAUUUUAGGUGAGAACUUUAGCGAUACUGCCGGUGAUAAACCGGAGGAAGGUGGGGACGACGUCAAGUCAUCAUGGCCCUUAUGGGCUGGGCUACACACGUACUACAAUGGUGGUUACAGAAGGCAGCGAAGGGGCAACCUGGAGCGAAUCCCAAAAAACCACCUCAGUUCGGAUUGCUCUCUGCAACUCGAGAGCAUGAAGUUGGAAUCGCUAGUAAUCGCAGAUCAGCGUGCUGCGGUGAAUACGUUCCCGGGUCUUGUACACACCGCCCGU